CCUACGGGUGGCAGCAGUGAGGAAUAUUGGUCAAUGGACGAGAGUCUGAACCAGCCAAGUAGCGUGAAGGAUGACUGCCCUAUGGGUUGUAAACUUCUUUUAUAUGGGAAUAAAAUGUUCCACGUGUGGGAUUUUGUAUGUACCAUAUGAAUAAGGAUCGGCUAACUCCGUGCCAGCAGCCGCGGUAAUACGGAGGAUCCGAGCGUUAUCCGGAUUUAUUGGGUUUAAAGGGAGCGUAGGUGGAUUGUUAAGUCAGUUGUGAAAGUUUGCGGCUCAACCGUAAAAUUGCAGUUGAAACUAGCAGUCUUGAGUACAGUAGAGGUGGGCGGAAUUCGUGGUGUAGCGGUGAAAUGCUUAGAUAUCACGAAGAACUCCGAUUGCGAAGGCAGUUCACUGGACUGCAACUGACACUGAGGCUCGAAAGUGUGGGUAUCAAACAGGAUUAGAUACCCUUGUAGUC
rnacentral:rRNA from 1 species